rnacentral:rRNA from 1 species
GGUUAAGCGACUAAGCGUACACGGUGGAUGCCCUGGCAGUCAGAGGCGAUGAAGGACGUGCUAAUCUGCGAUAAGCGUCGGUAAGGUGAUAUGAACCGUUAUAACCGGCGAUUUCCGAAUGGGGAAACCCAGUGUGAUUCGUCACACUAUCAUUAACUGAAUCCAUAGGUUAAUGAGGCGAACCGGGGGAACUGAAACAUCUAAGUACCCCGAGGAAAAGAAAUCAACCGAGAUUCCCCCAGUAGCGGCGAGCGAACGGGGAGCAGCCCAGAGCCUGAAUCAGUGUGUGUGUUAGUGGAAGCGUCUGGAAAGGCGUGCGAUACAGGGUGACAGCCCCGUACACAAAAAUGCACAUAUUGUGAGCUCGAUGAGUAGGGCGGGACACGUGGUAUCCUGUCUGAAUAUGGGGGGACCAUCCUCCAAGGCUAAAUACUCCUGACUGACCGAUAGUGAACCAGUACCGUGAGGGAAAGGCGAAAAGAACCCCGGCGAGGGGAGUGAAAAAGAACCUGAAACCGUGUACGUACAAGCAGUGGGAGCACGCUUAGGCGUGUGACUGCGUACCUUUUGUAUAAUGGGUCAGCGACUUAUAUUCUGUAGCAAGGUUAACCGAAUAGGGGAGCCGAAGGGAAACCGAGUCUUAACUGGGCGUUAAGUUGCAGGGUAUAGACCCGAAACCCGGUGAUCUAGCCAUGGGCAGGUUGAAGGUUGGGUAACACUAACUGGAGGACCGAACCGACUAAUGUUGAAAAAUUAGCGGAUGACUUGUGGCUGGGGGUGAAAGGCCAAUCAAACCGGGAGAUAGCUGGUUCUCCCCGAAAGCUAUUUAGGUAGCGCCUCGUGAAUUCAUCUCCGGGGGUAGAGCACUGUUUCGGCAAGGGGGUCAUCCCGACUUACCAACCCGAUGCAAACUGCGAAUACCGGAGAAUGUUAUCACGGGAGACACACGGCGGGUGCUAACGUCCGUCGUGAAGAGGGAAACAACCCAGACCGCCAGCUAAGGUCCCAAAGUCAUGGUUAAGUGGGAAACGAUGUGGGAAGGCCCAGACAGCCAGGAUGUUGGCUUAGAAGCAGCCAUCAUUUAAAGAAAGCGUAAUAGCUCACUGGUCGAGUCGGCCUGCGCGGAAGAUGUAACGGGGCUAAACCAUGCACCGAAGCUGCGGCAGCGACGCUGAUGCGUUGUUGGGUAGGGGAGCGUUCUGUAAGCCUGCGAAGGUGUGCUGUGAGGCAUGCUGGAGGUAUCAGAAGUGCGAAUGCUGACAUAAGUAACGAUAAAGCGGGUGAAAAGCCCGCUCGCCGGAAGACCAAGGGUUCCUGUCCAACGUUAAUCGGGGCAGGGUGAGUCGACCCCUAAGGCGAGGCCGAAAGGCGUAGUCGAUGGGAAACAGGUUAAUAUUCCUGUACUUGGUGUUACUGCGAAGGGGGGACGGAGAAGGCUAUGUUGGCCGGGCGACGGUUGUCCCGGUUUAAGCGUGUAGGCUGGUUUUCCAGGCAAAUCCGGAAAAUCAAGGCUGAGGCGUGAUGACGAGGCACUACGGUGCUGAAGCAACAAAUGCCCUGCUUCCAGGAAAAGCCUCUAAGCAUCAGGUAACAUCAAAUCGUACCCCAAACCGACACAGGUGGUCAGGUAGAGAAUACCAAGGCGCUUGAGAGAACUCGGGUGAAGGAACUAGGCAAAAUGGUGCCGUAACUUCGGGAGAAGGCACGCUGAUAUGUAGGUGAAGUCCCUCGCGGAUGGAGCUGAAAUCAGUCGAAGAUACCAGCUGGCUGCAACUGUUUAUUAAAAACACAGCACUGUGCAAACACGAAAGUGGACGUAUACGGUGUGACGCCUGCCCGGUGCCGGAAGGUUAAUUGAUGGGGUUAGCGCAAGCGAAGCUCUUGAUCGAAGCCCCGGUAAACGGCGGCCGUAACUAUAACGGUCCUAAGGUAGCGAAAUUCCUUGUCGGGUAAGUUCCGACCUGCACGAAUGGCGUAAUGAUGGCCAGGCUGUCUCCACCCGAGACUCAGUGAAAUUGAACUCGCUGUGAAGAUGCAGUGUACCCGCGGCAAGACGGAAAGACCCCGUGAACCUUUACUAUAGCUUGACACUGAACAUUGAGCCUUGAUGUGUAGGAUAGGUGGGAGGCUUUGAAGUGUGGACGCCAGUCUGCAUGGAGCCGACCUUGAAAUACCACCCUUUAAUGUUUGAUGUUCUAACGUUGACCCGUAAUCCGGGUUGCGGACAGUGUCUGGUGGGUAGUUUGACUGGGGCGGUCUCCUCCUAAAGAGUAACGGAGGAGCACGAAGGUUGGCUAAUCCUGGUCGGACAUCAGGAGGUUAGUGCAAUGGCAUAAGCCAGCUUGACUGCGAGCGUGACGGCGCGAGCAGGUGCGAAAGCAGGUCAUAGUGAUCCGGUGGUUCUGAAUGGAAGGGCCAUCGCUCAACGGAUAAAAGGUACUCCGGGGAUAACAGGCUGAUACCGCCCAAGAGUUCAUAUCGACGGCGGUGUUUGGCACCUCGAUGUCGGCUCAUCACAUCCUGGGGCUGAAGUAGGUCCCAAGGGUAUGGCUGUUCGCCAUUUAAAGUGGUACGCGAGCUGGGUUUAGAACGUCGUGAGACAGUUCGGUCCCUAUCUGCCGUGGGCGCUGGAGAACUGAGGGGGGCUGCUCCUAGUACGAGAGGACCGGAGUGGACGCAUCACUGGUGUUCGGGUUGUCAUGCCAAUGGCACUGCCCGGUAGCUAAAUGCGGAAGAGAUAAGUGCUGAAAGCAUCUAAGCACGAAACUUGCCCCGAGAUGAGUUCUCCCUGACUCCUUGAGAGUCCUGAAGGAACGUUGAAGACGACGACGUUGAUAGGCCGGGUGUGUAAGCGCAGCGAUGCGUUGAGCUAACCGGUACUAAUGAACCGUGAGGCUUAACCUU